GGUUCAGUGGUCUAGUGGUUAUGAUUUGUGUCUCACAUGAAAGUGAACCAGUAGUGUGCCCCACACAAGGUCCCCGGUUCGACCCCGGGCUGAACCA